GAUGAACGCUGGCGGCAUGCUUUACACAUGCAAGUCGGACGGGAAGUGGUGUUUCCCGUGGCGGGCGGGUGAGUAACGCGUAAGAACCUGCCCUUGGGAGGGGAACAACAGCUGGAAACGGCUGCUAAUACCCCGUAGGCUGAGGAGCGAAAGGAGGAAUCCGCCCAAGGAGGGGCUCGCGUCUGAUUAGCUAGUUGGUGAGGUAAUAGCUUACCAAGGCCGUGAUCAGUAGCUGGUCCGAGAGGAUGAUCAGCCACACUGGGACUGAGACAAGGCCCAGACUCCUACGGGAGGCAGCAGUGGGGAAUUUUCCGCAAUGGGCGAAAGCCUGACGGAGCAAUGCCGCGUGGAGGUAAAAGGCCUACGGGUCAUGAACUUCUUUUCCUGGAGAAGAAACAAUGACGGUAUCUGGGGAAUAAGCAUCGGCUAACUCUGUG
rnacentral:rRNA from 1 species